rnacentral:rRNA from 1 species
AUGGGGAUGCUGUCGCGGCCGGAGGAGGUGCCGGCGCUGCUCAGGCUCAAGCUGGCGGCGGGGCGGAUCAGGCGCCAGAUCCCGCCGCAGGAGCACUGGGCCUUCGCCUACGACAUGCUGCAGCGGGUCUCCCGCAGCUUCGCGCUCGUCAUCCAGCAGCUAGGCCCCGAGCUCCGCAAUGCCGUCUGCGUCUUCUACCUCGUGCUCCGGGCCCUGGACACCGUCGAGGACGACACCGCCAUCCCUAACGAGGUCAAGCUGCCCAUCCUUCGGGACUUCUACCGCCACAUCUACAACCCGGACUGGCUCUUUUCAUGUGGAGCAAACGACUACAGAGUGCUCAUGGAUAAUUUUAGGCAAGUCUCCACGGCUUUCCUGGAGCUAGGCGAAGGAUACCAAAAGGCUAUUGAAGAAAUCACUAGGCGAAUGGGAGAAGGAAUGGCUAAAUUUAUAUGCACGGAGGUUGAAACCAUUGAUGACUAUGAUGAGUACUGCCACUAUGUAGCAGGGCUAGUAGGCUAUGGACUUUCUAGGCUCUUUCAUGCUACUGGCACAGAAGAUCUGGCUCCGGAUCAUCUUUCAAAUUCAAUGGGUUUAUUUCUACAGAAAACCAAUAUAAUAAGGGAUUAUUUGGAGGACAUAAAUGAGAUACCAAGGUGCCGUAUGUUCUGGCCUCGGGAAAUAUGGAGUAAAUAUGUCGAUAAACUUGAGGAUUUAAAAUAUGAGGAAAAUUCAGAAAAGGCCGUGCAGUGCUUGAAUGAUAUGGUGACCAAUGCUUUGAUCCAUGCCCAAGAUUGCCUUCAAUACAUGUCAGCAUUGAAGGACAACUCCAAUUUUCGAUUUUGUGCAAUACCUCAGAUAAUGGCAAUUGGGACAUGUGCUAUUUGCUACAAUAAUGUGAAAGUCUUUAGAGGAGUUGUUAAGAUGAGGCGUGGGCUCACUGCACGGGUGAUUGAUGAGACAAAAUCGAUAUCUGAUGUCUAUUCUGCUUUCUAUGAGUUCUCUUCAUUGCUAGAGUCGAAGAUUGAUGAUAACGACCCAAAUGCUGCGCUGACACGGAGGCGUGUGGAUGCAAUAAAGAAAACUUGCAAGUCAUCCGGCCUGCUGAAGAGAAGGGGUUACGAUCUGGAGAAAUCAAAGUACAGAAUGCCUAUGCUGAUCAUGAUCAUGCUUCUGUUGGUGGCUAUUAUCUUGGGUGUACUGUAUGGCAAGUGA